CCAUGCAAACCGUGCACCUAUCUUGCAUCAAGAUUAGAAUUAUCUCCAAAUAGACAGAACCAAGAUUCCACAUGAGCCUCUUCACCAAGGAGUACCAUCGCGUGCGUCCAAAAUAGUUUCUUAGCCUAUGGUGCAUUAGGCACAAACCGUGUACCUAUCUUGCACCGAAACUAACAAUAUCUCCAAAGAGAACGAAGUGAGAUUCUAUAUGACACACGUCAUCUAGGAGUUCUAUUGGGUGCUUCCAAAUAUAUUUCGAAGCAUAUGGUAUGUUCGAUGCAAUUCGUGCACCUAUCUUGUAUCAAGAUUAGCACUAUCUCCAAACAAAGCAAACUGAGCUUCCACUUGAGCCCCUUUACCCAACAGUAUCAUCGGGUGCAUCCAAAAUAGUUUCUUAGCCUAUGAUGUAUUAGGCACAAAUUGUGUACCUAUCUUGCACCAAACUAACUCUGUCUCCAAACAGACCAAAGCGAGAUUCUAUAUGACACAUGUCAUCUUGGAGUUCUAUUGGGGUGCGUCUAAAUGUGAUGAGGACAUCAACACCAGCGAUACAUCCUCUCCGACACAACCUAUAGCUGGUCCUCUUACUCGUGCUCGUGUUCGUCAACUUAAUAAUCAAGUGAGUUUCUUGAUAAGCUCGUGUCCAUCUUGUUUAGACAAUGGAAAUGCGUGCACUCUUGUUUUGAUUAGGAACCAAGGAGAAGACCGAAAGGGAGAAGGACUCACGCUCGCUGGAUUCGGACAGCAGCAAAGCGCCAACUUGUGACCGUUACCACGGUUGCAUACGGAUUCGGAUUCAGGCGCUUCAGGACUUGUUGGAAAGCUUAUCAAGUCUACUUUCAUAUGAAUCAAGUCCCACGUCAAUACCUAUUCGGCAGCAGCGGCAAUGAUCCAAUUACCGUCGUUAGGUCUUGCUGUCCAGGGUGCUGCGUCACCUCAUUUUGGGCUGAUGGCCCAUGUAUCAAGUUGGGUCCAUUAGAGAUGCGUCCUAGGGUUGGAGGACGACCCCAACACCUCUUUGGUCAUCAAUCCAUCUACUUAUAUCCCUCUAGAGUCACCAUGGUCGUUGGGUUUUGUUUAGAUCAAGUUUAGCCUUCGCUACUUGCUUGUAGGCGCGCGUGCAGGAUCAGCCGCCCGUCUCCUUGUCUUCGGAACCCCAUUGUUGAUUCAGAUUCAGUUUGAAACCUUCAAUUCAUCUUGAAAAUUCAGUGCUUGUUUCCUCGUUCUUGCUAGUUCUUCGAUUGCUUGCAGGACGGGAGCCCUAGGGGCUGGUUGUCGCGCUCCACAAGAUCGUGACGGCUAUUGGACGUGGUGUAUCGGUUGCUAAGGCGCGGUCUUGAAGGCUGUAGUCGGGCCGUGAACGUCAUCUCCAUCCACCAAUCGAGUUAUCCCCGUCUCUCAUCAAAAGAUCGGGCAAAAACCCUAGCGGGUUCGCAUCAGUUGGUAAUCAGAGCAAGGUUCUUCGGUGAGAGACUUCUAAUCCUUUGCUGUUUUUAAUUAAUUUCCUAUAGUCCAGAAAAGCCAAAAAAAAUAUAGUAGAUUAGUUUUUCCAUAAUCCUAUUAAACCUUUGUGCCUUGGCUAGUACCGUUUUAGUUAGGGCUUGUUGAAUUUGCGUUGCUUCGGUUUGUGUCGAGUUGCUGGUCUUAGUGUCUAGUCGUUUAGAGUUUCGAGUUCUUGUCACCAUCUAUACACAGCCGAGUAUUACCAUAUCUUCUCUCUGUCGAAUCUGUUGCGAAGUCCGAAUUGAACUGUGGUCUUGGUCCGGAUCGAGUAGAGUUCCAAUCUGAGUUCCACCAACGUGAUAAAAAAAGAAGGAAACCGAGUAGAACUCGGCAAUAGGUGGAAUCCGUUUUGUGGUUGGUUCUGAGUGGAAACCGAAUAUAACUUGGAGUCCGCUUGUUAAUGUAGCCUGAACUCCGUCUAUGUGAGUCCUUCUGUGAUCCAAAAAGAAAGAUAACUCCAUACUUGUUCGGCCUUACUCUAGAGAGAGAGAGAGAGUAGCGAAUUGCUCUUUUGUAUUCUUUUGUUCAUAUAAUCAGUUUUUGAGGUAGCCCAAAAAAAAAGAAAAAAAAGAAAAAAAAGAAAAGAGAAAAGAUUCAAAAGAGAAAAAGGGGUUGUUUUUCAUAUUGAUUUUAGGUUUGUUCCACCUUGUUUUCGGGGGUGUGCUGUGGUUUUCCUUUGUGUCUAGGCUCGCGUCUCUAGCACGGUCUAGCCUAGGACCAGCACAGUACCAUCGUCGAACGCUUAUUCAGCUCGCUUUUAUAACUAACGUGGUGCUAGUUCGUUCCUUGUUUCAGCCCACCUAUAGCUCCACAUACUCUACAGCUUGACAGGUCUUGUGCUGCAGCACCGAUACACUUCGUCCAUUGCUGUACACUUGUUGGCAGACGACCCCUCCUGUCAAGCAAGGUAAGAAUUGGUAAGAACUUGUGUUACAGGUUGAGUGUGAGCGACUUGCUGUAGCUACAUCCUAGUAGUUGUAGGGCUUUUAUUUCUUCACUUGCCUUUUUGUUGUCUUUGUCUUUGAACCAUGCCAGGGGC
rnacentral:lncRNA from 1 species